rnacentral:tRNA from 1 species
GCGAGAGUGGCGGAAUUGGCAGACGCGCUAGGUUGAGGGCCUAGUGAGGUUUUCCCUCAUGGGGGUUCGAGUCCCCCCUCUCGCACCA